UACGAAGGGUGCAAGCGUUGUUCGGAUUUAUUGGGCGUAAAGCGCGCGUAGGCGGUUUUGUAAGUCUGUUGUGAAAUCCCCGGGCUUAACCUGGGAAUUGCAAUGGAGACUGCAAGGCUGGAAUCUGGCAGAGGGGGGUAGAAUUCCACGUGUAGCAGUGAAAUGCGUAGAGAUGUGGAGGAACACCGAUGGCGAAGGCAGCCCCCUGGGUCAAGAUUGACGCUCAUGCACGAAAGCGUGGGGAGCAAACAGG
rnacentral:rRNA from 1 species